rnacentral:rRNA from 1 species
AACGAACGCUGGCGGCAUGCCUAACACAUGCAAGUCGAACGAGACCUCCGGGUCUAGUGGCGCACGGGUGCGUAACGUGUGGGAACCUGCCCUAAGGCUCGGAAUAACUCUUUGACAGGGGUGCUAAUACCGGAUAAUGUCCUCGGAUCAAAGAUUGAUCGCCUUUGGAUGGGCCCGCGUUGGUUUAGCCGGUUGGUAGGGUAAAAGCCUACCACGGCGACGAUCCAUAGCUGGUCUGAGAGGAAGGUCAGCCACACUGGGGCUGGGACACGGCGCAGACUCCUACGGGAGGCAGCAGUGGGGAAUAUAGGACAAUGGGCGAAAGCCUGAUCCAGCUAUGCCGCGUGAGUGAUGAAGGCCUUAGAGUUGUAAAGCUCUUUUACCCGGGAUGAUAAUGACGGUACCGGGAGAAUAAGCUCCGGCUAACUCCGUG